UUGAGAUAAGAUUUCAAAUUUUGAAAAAUAAAAUAAAAAUAAAAUUUUCAAAAGAUAAAAUGUUAUUUUGGUCAUUUCAGGUUUUGAAGACUAUUUUGGUAACAUAAACUUAGAAAAGUGCUAUUUUGGAGAUUUGCCCUAUAGUAAAUGAGAGUUUUCUCUUUUCUUAAGCCACAUCAGCAAGAGAGCAUGAGACAUUUUGUGCCACCCGACACUCCUUUGCAAACUGAGUUUAUCCUUAUUUUAUUUGUCAAAUCCAUUAAUCAUGUCUAGCCGAUCAAUUUUUAUAUUAACACCACGUUACCUCAACGGCUCAACCUAUCUCUUUUCGUCGAUAGAGAUUCUUUCAUUCCAUUGAAUUCGAUCUAUCUGUUGACCUUUCUUUCGGUGUAAUUGUAGUAUGUUGAUCUAAUUAUACUAUGUUUUUCUCCCAUCUAUACUUCUGCUCACAUAUCUAUUUAUGAAAAAGGCCGCUCAGCUUUCAGAUCAAAAUUGAAAAUACUCAUCGUUAAUUGACCAAUCAACUGCACUGUGAUUAGGGUUUCAGUUAUUCCUUAGCUAGGAGGGAUUUGGGUUUCAAUCGACACGAUGACAUCAAAUCUAAUGACUUCCUUGAAAUCUCAUGACAAGGAGAAGACCGUUGCUCCUCGGAAGAAUCAGUAAUACCUCCCAUGUCCUUUUUCAUCAAUCUGUAUAUUAACUUACGUUGUUUUUCAAAAGGGAGGACAAAUCAGAAGCAAAAUUAUAGAGAGGGAGAAUGAAACAAGGCGGAGUGAUGGAGCAGAGAUCAAACAUGUAGAGAUGGAUUCCGCUUGGAUCUCCAGGAUUAGGCGGCGUUGAGGUUAAGAACGAGAAACCAGGCCCGUCCCUGCAUUAAAGCAGGUGAAGCAAUGGCUUUAAGCCACAUAUUAAAAAAAUAAAAUAUAUGCCACAUUUUCUAAUUUUAGUUGCAGGUCAAAUUGUUUCAUAGGAGAAGUUAGUGAUCUUCUUUCCUCUGGUUCGAUUUACACCACAACUCUCUUUGUUAUAAUUGUUUUGGCAAUUUACUAUAAGGGCCACAUUAUUUUUGACAUGCUUUAAGCAUUAAAAAUGUUUGGGACGGCACUGCGAGAAACAUAUGUCUCUUCAACGAGACAAGAUUGAAUAAGACGUGUUCAGCAGGAGUGGGAACAUGGCAUCUCACUAACCACGAAAGAGGACGAAGACCUUGCAGGACCAUCUCGAUGCAAGUCACCAAGUGUUCGACGAAUUGCCUCGCACACAGUUUUACCAACAACUUUAUCAUCUUAGCCUUUUCGUUCAGGCUAUCUCUCCUAAUUUGCUAAUCAGCUUUUGUUUGAAACAUGUAUAUAAAUCUACAAAAUGAUGCUCAGGAAAUAAGGUUGGAGAUUUCAGUUACAGACGGAGAUGUGCUGAAGCAAACAUGUAGAUAAAUAAAGAAUUCGUUUUAUAAGUUAGUUCAAAGCUUCUCAUAUCACUACUUCUUCUCAGCUUUUAAAAAUCAACAUUUAUUUGUUCUCGAGGUUUCCGUUUUUUUUUUAUCUUUUGACGAAAAAAAACUUACAUUGUAGCUCAUCUUAAAAAGUGGCAGAUGCAAAUGAUUCUCCUACCAAAUUUAAAUACAUCUUCAGCUGCGGUCUCUUUGAUUGUGUGGAAGAAAGCAUUGGUUCGUUUAUGUAUAUACAAACGGUUGCUGGCAAGUAGUGGACACCAUGAGGCUUGCAAGGGGGAGGUGUCAAACUGAGGCGCUCUCCUAGAUGAUUAACUGAAUCUUACCGAUGCUCUGGUGGCAUACCAAACUGCCGCAAAAGCAGCGGCUCAGAUUCAGAGCGUUUCGGGAUAACACGUUGAAGGCGGCACAGUCAAAGGUUAUCCAGUUUGCCAACAUGGAAGAAGAGGCUAAGAGCAUAUGAUGAAGAUCUAGAAUGCUUUCUGCAAAUGUAUGUGUAGUAAUGUUAAAGCUUCUAUUUGGAUUCACUGUCGUUUCAGACAUGGAAAGUUCAAAGAGAGUUCUUCAAAAUGUGGGGUCAGCAAGUUAGGAUCCAGGUAUGUAGUGAUAUAGAUAUACAUGGACUUAGAAGAAGCGUUAAUGCAACCAACAAGGCAAUGAAAUCGCGGUGGUUGACGUGGUGUCGAAGUGGAUUAUAGAGAGGUGGAGAUACAGAGGCGGUGAUGAUCGAUUUAUAAUGGGGUAGAUGAUUGGGUUUAAGAAGAGUAGUUUUCGCUAAAGUUGAAGCCAUUGUCAAGACUUGGGGAAAGCUGUAUGAAUCUCUCCCAAAAAAUAUCAUCAAUUAGUCCCUUCAUAUCAUAUAAUCAUGACGUUUAUUACUAUUCACGGUUACCUAUUGUAGAUAUUUUUAAAAUAAUGGAUAAAGAGCUACGA